UAUAGGUAUAAAUAUAUUGUGUACUGUUAGAAGGGGCAAAUUUAUUUUGAUGUGUGGGGAAGAGGGUAUCCUAGUCUAGUGUGUAGAGCUGCCAUUUUUUUUUUUUUUUUUAUAUAAUUCUUUAUUUUGGUAGUGGUUCACAGCAAACAUGGUAUGUAUCAAGCCACAAUAUGUUAAUCCCCUUAAGGAUGGUGGACGUUCUAUGCCAUCCUUGGGGACCCGGCUCCAAACGCCGGCUGGUGGCAUAGAACGCCCAAGUCGUCCUAUGUACUUAC